rnacentral:rRNA from 1 species
UACGUAGGGGGCAAGCGUUGUCCGGAAUCAUUGGGCGUAAAGCGCGUGUAGGCGGCCAGGUAAGUCCGUUCUGAAAGCCCGGGGCUCAACCCCGGGAGGCGGAUGGAUACUGCUUGGCUCGAGUCCGGAAGGGGCGAGUGGAAUUCCCGGUGUGGCGGUGAAAUGCGCAGAUAUCGGGAGGAACACCAAUGGCGAAGGCAGCUCGCUGGGACGGUACUGACGCUGAGGAGCGAAAGCGUGGGGAGCGAACAGG